rnacentral:rRNA from 1 species
GCCCUUUAAUGUUUGAUGUUCUAACGUUGGCCCCUUACCGGGGUUGCGGACAGUGUCUGGUGGGUAGUUUGACUGGGGCGGUCUCCUCCCAAAGCGUAACGGAGGAGCACGAAGGUUAGCUAAUCCUGGUCGGACAUCAGGAGGUUAGUGCAAUGGCAUAAGCUAGCUUGACUGCGAGCGUGACGGCGCGAGCAGGUGCGAAAGCAGGUCAUAGUGAUCCGGUGGUUCUGAAUGGAAGGGCCAUCGCUCAACGGAUAAAAGGUACUCGGGGGAUAACAGGCUGAUACCGCCCAAGAGUUCAUAUCGACGGCGGUGUUUGGCACCUCGAUGUCGGCUCAUC